rnacentral:tRNA from 1 species
GGACUGAUUAGCUCAGUCAGUUGAGUGUGCCGCUAACAACACUAAGGUUGCGGGUUCGAUUCCCGUUCGGUCCC